UACAGAGGGUGCGAGCGUUGUUCGGAAUUAUUGGGCGUAAAGGGCGCGUAGGCGGCGCCACAAGUCACUUGUGAAAACUCUGGGCUCAACUCAGAGCCUGCAAGCGAAACUGUGGUGCUGGAGUAUGGGAGAGGUGCGUGGAAUUCCCGGUGUAGCGGUGAAAUGCGUAGAUAUCUGCAGGAACACCCGUGGCGAAGGCGGCUGACUGGAUCGCAACUGACGCUGAGGAACGAAAGCUAGGGGAGCAAACAGG
rnacentral:rRNA from 1 species